GAUGAACGCUGGCGGCGUGCCUAACACAUGCAAGUCGAGCGAUUUACUUCGGUAAAGAGCGGCGGACGGGUGAGUAACGCGUGGGUAACCUGCCCUGUACACGCGGAUAACAUACCGAAAGGCAUGCUAAUACGAGAUAAUAUGCUUUUAUCGCAUGGUAGAAGUAUCAAAGCUUUUGCGGUACAGGAUGGACCCGCGUCUGAUUAGCUAGUUGGUAAGGUAACGGCUUACCAAGGCGACGAUCAGUAGCCGACCUGAGAGGGUGAUCGGCCACAUUGGAACUGAGACACGGUCCAAACUCCUACGGGAGGCAGCAGUGGGGAAUAUUGCACAAUGGGCGAAAGCCUGAUGCAGCAACGCCGCGUGAGCGAUGAAGGCCUUCGGGUCGUAAAGCUCUGUCCUCAAGGAAGAUAAUGACGGUACUUGAGGAGGAAGCCCCGGCUAACUACGUGCCAGCCGCCGCAGUAA
rnacentral:rRNA from 1 species